UCUUAGAAAUGAGCAAAGAAGGUGGUUUCUUGAUGGAAUCUACUCCUGGUGAAGAUGCUGUGAA
rnacentral:pre_miRNA from 2 species